ensembl:lncRNA
GUGAAGUAUCGUACCAAAGGCUCAACAUGGUCGUUUUUGGAGGAUAAUUAUCGUGUAUCUGGCAACAUUGAGAUCGGUCGACCAAUGACUGUUCUCUCUACAGUCAGAGCUCGCGAAAGAAGGUGGAACGUAAGCGAGACACCAUUUCCAAAACUGAAAGCAACCAUGUAAUGCCUCAGGAGUCUGUAGAGGGGACGAAGACGCAUUCUGCUGCACUUAACAGAGCUCAAGACCAACGGGACGCCAUCAGGACGGCAUCAGGACGCCACGUCAUCGGGACGGCAUCAGGACACCACGUCAUCGGGACGCCAUCAGGACGCCGCAUCAACCCCUCAGGAGCAAAUCCAGAUCUACUCAUGAAACCCACACACACCCACACACACAUGUACACACAGACACACUAACAUUUGGUUCUAAACAAAGACACACACUAACAUUUAGAUGUACACAAAGACACAUUAAUAUUUAGAUGUACACAAAGACACAAUAACAAUUAGAUCUACACACAGACACACUAACAAUUAGAUCUACACACAGACACACUAACAAUUAGAUGUACACCCAGACACAUCCUGAUGAUCCUCCUCACGUCUCUUCUCCUUGUCUGCAGACCAACAGGACACCAACAGGACGUCAUCAGGACGCCACGUCACCGGGACGCCAUCAGGACACCACGUCAUCGGGACGCCAUCAGGACGCCAUCAGGACGCCAUCAGGACGCCAUCAGGACGCCGCGUCAACCCCUCAGGAGCAAAUCCAGAUCUACUCAUGACACACACACACACACACAGAUGUACUCACAGACACACUAACAUUUGGUUCUAAACAAAGACACACACUAACAUUUAGAUGUACACAAAGACACAUUAAUAUUUAGAUAUAUACACAGACACACUAACAUUUUAGAUGUACACACAGACACACUAAGAAUUAGAUGUACACACAGACACACUAACAUUUGGUUCUAAACAAAGACAAACACUAACAUUUAGAUCUACAGACAGACACACUAACAAUUAGAUGUACACACAGACACAUCCUGAUGAUCCUCCUCACGUCUCUUCUCCUUGUCUGCAGACCAACAGGACGCCAUCAGAACGCCACGUCACCGGGACGCCAUCAGGACGCCGCGUCAAGCCCUCAGGAGCAAAUCCAGAUCUACUCAUGACACACACACACACACAGAUAUUAUUAUAUUAUUUAAUAUUAUUAUUAUUGUUAAAUAUGUCGUCUGUUUAUUAUUUUAACAAUGAAAAUACAUUUUAAUAAAAAUAAAACCAAAUUAAUCCGUC